CUCUCCUGCUUACCUUCUUCCACCACCAGGUGAUGCUGAGGGCUGCGUCUCUGGGUGCGACAGGUGUUCCUCAUUUUGAUGAUCAUCUGGAGGAAUAUAUAGGGGACGGAUCACCAGCACUCCUUUGCCUGAGUGUUUUGCCUACAGCGGUUCCAUAUUCAGUCUUUUGACUCAGUCAGAUGGUUUAUCGCUCCCUGCUUCAGAAGAACCUGGACCAAGUCCCAGCUUGCUGUCCGUUCUCCGGGAACUUAUCACAGAACUUACCACGGAAGUUCCUGGUGGAUUCCCAGAAGAGGUCCCCCUGGAUCUCCAGACUCAUUUGCCAUCUCCCUGGCGGAUCUAGUCCUCCCUGCACACUUCCUCCAAUUCCUGUCUGCAUGGCUAGCCCUGAUCAUUGUCUGUUCCAUAAUUCUAGCAAUAAACUUCCAAAACUGUU